UACGUAGGGUGCAAGCGUUGUCCGGAAUUAUUGGGCGUAAAGAGCUCGUAGGCGGUCUGUCGCGUCGGCUGUGAAAACUCGGGGGCUCAACUCCGAGCUUGCAGUCGAUACGGGCAGGCUAGGAGUUCGGCAGGGGGAGACUGGAAUUCCUGGUGUAGCGGUGAAAAUGCGCAGAUAUCAGGAGGAACACCGGUGGCGAAGGCGGGUCUCUGGGCCGAUACUGACGCUGAGGAGCGAAAAGCGUGGGGGAGCGAACAGG
rnacentral:rRNA from 1 species